rnacentral:pre_miRNA from 1 species
AUAAUACUCCCUCCGUCUGGAAUUAUUUGUCAUCAAAAUGGAUGUGUCUAGAACUAAAAUACAUCUAGAUACAUCCAUUUCAAUGACAAGUAUUUUCGGACGGAGGGAGUAGUAG